UACGGGGGGAGCAAGCGUUGUUCGGAUUUACUGGGCGUAAAGGGCGCGUAGGCGGCCACCGCAAGUCGACUGUGAAAUCUCCGGGCUUAACCCGGAAAGGUCAGCCGAUACUGCGGGGCUAGAGUGCAGAAGGGGCAACUGGAAUUCUCGGUGUAGCGGUGAAAUGCGUAGAUAUCGAGAGGAACACCUGCGGCGAAGGCGGGUUGCUGGGCCUAUACUGACACUAAGACGCGAAAGUUAGGGGAGCAAACAGG
rnacentral:rRNA from 1 species